GAGGUGCUGCCACCUUAUUGGUAGUAUCGAGAAGUUGACCGGUUGUCGAAUUGAUUUUUUUCCUUCGCAAGCAACGUUGUCACGCUCUCAUUUUGACUAGUAGCUCGAUUUCAUCGUUCGUGUAUUGCUAGGAUUAAUAUCUACCUACAACGGUUUUGUAAUUCGCGGUCAUACCUGUUCGCGUCGGCCAGACACGAGAAUUUGAUUGCCUGGUUCACCAUGGAGACGAUCGAAAUGUUUGUUUCCAUCAUCGGACGUGCAGUUCACCAUCAUCGGGUCGAGUUGCUAGUGAUGUUGCAAAGAAGAGCUCGGAUUGACAGCAGUCUGUGGAUCAACCUGGCGCAGCUGCCGUCGACGACUAGCUGACAGGUGAUUUCGUCUCGGUGAAAGAAGGUGAUUGCCUCAUUACAGCAACUAACUAUAAGCAGGUAAUAAUCCCACAACUUUGUUCUUUUCUUUUACUGCUCGCGCAAUAAUUAUAUACAAGCAGUAAAGUAAGUGAGUUGUCAAGUAUAUAAAACUGGAACGCUCGUUGAAGGCUGAAAUUUCUUUAUCGAGGAAGAAAAUCUUACAUCGAUUAUAGCUUCUCACAGUUUACGCUCUUAUUAUUUAUGCGGUCUUAUUAUGUCUUUCAUGUCUUAUUGUUAUUACUAUUAUUGCAUUAACAUCCUGUCCAAUUAAGGACUAUUCGUUACUACCGGCACUGAUGUCUAAUCUCAUGAAAAUUUGAUUUAUUUAGCGAUAAUUAAUCCUUAAACUACAGUAAUGCUUACGGAUAUAUUACAUCCACAAAUUUAUCUCUGCCUGAAUUAAAAAAGUUAACGGAUUAAAAAAUGUAAAUGUAUAUUAAAAUGUGUCACGGCAAACGGAAUGCCGAUACGCGAGUCAUGGUGACGAUUCCUAAGCACUUGCCAUCGCUACGGUAGAAAAGGCGAGCGCAAUUUCCGGUGCAUCACCUUCCACCGCAACAACGUACAAAGAGCGAGGAAUCUUUUCGUUCCUGUGAAUGCCGCGCAUUAAUCAAGCGCCGCGGGCGCCUGACGUCUUAAUCUGCUUAAUCCUCGGUGGCCUACGCAACAUCCUGCACGCCCACGAUUCUAUGUACGUACUAAACGCCAGGUACGUCCGCG